AGGGGAGUAGUCCAACCAAAGACUUCUGAUUUCGGCUCAGACAAUUAUGGUUAAAAUCCAUACUUCCCUU
rnacentral:tRNA from 1 species